CUGGGCGUGGCGCAGUCUGGUAGCGCGCGCGGUUCGGGACUGCGAGGUCGCAAGUUCAAAUCUUGUCGCCCAGACCA
rnacentral:tRNA from 1 species